rnacentral:rRNA from 1 species
UACAGGGGGGCAAGCGUUGUUCGGAAUUACUGGGCGUAAAGGGCUUGUAGGUGGCCAACUAAGUCAGACGUGAAAUCCCUCGGCUUAACCGGGGAACUGCAUCUGAUACUGGAUGGCUUGAGUUCGGGAGAGGGAUGCGGAAUUCCAGGUGUAGCGGUGAAAUGCGUAGAUAUCUGGAGGAACACCGGUGGCGAAGGCGGCAUCCUGGACCGACACUGACGCUGAGGCGCGAAGGCUAGGGGAGCAAACGGGG